GACGAACGCUGGCGGCGUGCCUAAUACAUGCAAGUCGAACGCAGUGGGGACGGGUGAGUAACACGUGGGUAACCUCCCCAUCAGAGGGGAUAACACUUGGAAACAGGUGCUAAACCGAUACUGAUGGAUGGCCCCGCGGUGCAUUAGCUAGUUGGUGGGGGAACGGCUCACCAAGGCCACGAUGCAUAGGCGACCGGAGAGGGGGAGCGGCAACACUGGGACUGAGACACGGCCCAGACUCAUACGGGAGGCAGCAGUAGGGAAUAGUGGGCAAUGGAGGAAAGUCUGACCGAGCAACGCCGCGUGAGUGAAGAAGGUGUUCGGAUCGUAAAACUCUGUUGUUAGAGAAGCGGUAUCUAACCAGAAAGCCACGGCUAACUACGUGCCAGCAGCCGCGGUAAUUC
rnacentral:rRNA from 1 species